GAUGAACGCUGGCGGCGUGCCUAAUACAUGCAAGUCGAGCGAACAGAUAAGGAGCUUGCUCCUUUGACGUUAGCGGCGGACGGGUGAGUAACACGUGGGUAACCUACCUAUAAGACUGGAAUAACUCCGGGAAACCGGGGCUAAUGCCGGAUAACAUGUUGAACCGCAUGGUUCUACAGUGAAAGGCGGCUUUGCUGUCACUUCUAGAUGGACCCGCGCCGUAUUAGCUAGUUGGUGAGGUAACGGCUCACCAAGGCAACGAAACGUAGCCGACCUGAGAGGGGGAUCGGCCACACUGGAACUGAGACACGGUCCAGACUCCUACGGGAGGCAGCAGUAGGGAAUCUUCCGCAAUGGGCGAAAGCCUGACGGAGCAACGCCGCGUGAGUGAUGAAGGUCUUCGGAUCGUAAAACUCUGUUAUUAGGGAAGAACAAAUGCGUAAGUAACUGUGCGCGUCUUGACGGUACCUAAUCAGAAAGCCACGGCUAACUACGUG
rnacentral:rRNA from 1 species